rnacentral:rRNA from 1 species
UACGAAGGGGGCUAGCGUUGCUCGGAAUCACUGGGCGUAAAGGGUGCGUAGGCGGUCCAUCGCGUCGGGGAGUGAAAAAGCUGGGGGCUCAACCCCAGUCCUGCUUCCGAUACGGGUGGACUAGAGGUAUGCAGGGGAGAACGGAAUUCCCGGUGUAGUGGUGAAAUGCGUAGAUAUCGGGAGGAACACCAGUGGCGAAGGCGACUACCUGGCCUGUUCUUGACGCUGAGGCGCGAAAGCUAGGGGAGCAAACGGG